GACGAACGCUGGCGGCGUGCUUAACACAUGCAAGUCGAACGGAAAGGCCCUGCUUUUGUGGUGUGCUCGAGUGGCGAACGGGUGAGUAACACGUGAGUAACCUGCCCUUGACUUUGGGAUAACUUCAGGAAACUGGGGCUAAUACCGUACAGGAGCUCCUGCUGCAUGGAGGGGGUUGGAAAGUCUCGGCGGUUGGGGAUGGAUUCGCGGCUUAUCGGCUUGUUGGUGGGGGUAGUGGCUUACCACGGCUUCGACGGGUAGUCGACAUGAGAGGGUGAUCGGCCACAUUGGGACUGAGAUACGGCGCAGACUGCUACGGGAGGCAGAAGUGGGGAAUAUUGCACAGUGGGCGGAAGCCUGAUGCAGCGACGCCGCGUGCGUGAUGACGGCCUUCGGGUUGUAAACCGCUUUCGCCUGUGACGAAGCGUGAGUGACGGUAAUGGGUAAAGAAGCACCGGCUAACUACGUG
rnacentral:rRNA from 1 species